rnacentral:rRNA from 1 species
UACGAAGGGGGCUAGCGUUGCUCGGAAUGACUGGGCGUAAAGGGCGCGUAGGCGGCUUGCACCGUCAGAUGUGAAAUUCCUGGGCUUAACCUGGGGGCUGCAUUUGAUACGUGUGGGCUUGAGUGCGGAAGAGGGUCGUGGAACUCCCAGUGUAGAGGUGAAAUUCGUAGAUAUUGGGAAGAACACCGGUGGCGAAGGCGGCGACCUGGUCCGUGACUGACGCUGAGGCGCGAAAGCGUGGGGAGCAAACAGG